UACGAAGGGAGCUAGCGUUGUUCGGAAUCACUGGGCGUAAAGCGCACGUAGGCGGAUGUGUCAGUCAGGGGUGAAAUCCCGGAGCUCAACUUCGGAACUGCCUUUGAUACAGCACGUCUUGAGUCCGAUAGAGGUGGGUGGAAUUCCUAGUGUAGAGGUGAAAUUCGUAGAUAUUAGGAAGAACACCGGUGGCGAAGGCGGCCCACUGGCCCGAUACUGACGCUGAGGCACGAAAGCGUGGGGAGCAAACAGG
rnacentral:rRNA from 1 species